rnacentral:tRNA from 1 species
GGCCUAGUUUCCUGAAGUGCAAAUUUGGGUUUGAAAUUUGAUUUUUCAUAGGCCU